CUUAGGCACUGGAGAAGUGAGUGUGGAGCACUGUGGAGAGGUCAGCAUGAAAGUUAUGAAUUGGAGCAUUCUCAACAUAUGUCACUUAGCAACAGCGUGUAGAUGCAGAAAGGAGAGGAACCUAGGACAGAAACCUGAACCUUCCAACAUUUAUGGAUUAGCUGAGAGUGAAAAGCCACCACAGAAGACUGAGACCAAACCAAAUGGCCAGUGAAAAGGAUGGAAGAGUAUGAGUGUGAAAUUCUGGAAGCAAAGGACAAUCAAUUUGUUCAAAGAGAGAAUAUUCAUUCUGUAUUCCCAGUGCCUGGCCCAUGCUGCCAUGGAUUUAAAUCAUUUGGGAAGACAGACUCAUCCAGAUCCUAAAGGAAGUUUUACUAAAACAGCUCUAAGGGUCAAAUGGAAAGGAGAUCAUUCUCCAGAAGGCAGUUGACCGUGUCCCGGUGUUGUGUUCAACCUUAUAGUCUUAGGUUAUCUGGAAGCACGAUCUUCCCAUUGAAAAAGAAAAGGAGAACUCAGCUUUUCACAUAUACAUGUAGUGAUCCUUGACCAAUGUCGAUUCCCAGAUACACAAAUCUUCCGCACAAGCCCCAAGCACCCUGCUCAUUUUUCAGAGUUGAGCAUCUAUUUGUGGAACAUAUGUGAGCAGCCACUGGAAAUUUUCCAUUCUUUUGAAGACAGCCAAACAUUCAUUCCAGGACUAUACAUAUUUUUUAUUGUGAAAAAUGACUUGAAAAAUGCUCUUAGAGACUAAGUUUUUAAAAAUAUUCUGUUCUGUUACGCUUUCUUUCCUUUUCUUUUUUUUUCUGGGCAGAAAGAAAUACAAAGAAGCCUAAUUUAAAAGUAUGUUUAAUUCAGAGAAUAGGAAACUUUCUUUCUUAGCCUACUUUUGAGUAUUUCUGUCACAAGUGUAUUCUCAGUUCAGCUCUGAAGGAGUCAAUUUAAUUGGACUUGACCAACUGCUAGUGCCACUUAGCAGAUGCUGUAGUAGUUUUUUUAUUGUGUGAUCGCCCCAGCAUAUUUAUGGUUUUAGGUUAUGGAUUUUUAAAUUGUUAAAUUCUUACCCAGACUCACCAUGUUAACCUAUGCUCCAUCUGUAAGAGUAAGACCUCAACUCCUUGAAGAGAUAGGUAGAGAGAGAAAGAGGAAAAAAAUCCAGUAUCUUAUUGGAACCAGAAGACUGAAAGAGAAACGUGCUCCUAUAGAGUCAUCUUGAGAAGCAUGACUCAAAUUUAAAAUGGAGCAUUACAGUCCAGAGAAGUGUAGUAGGAAUGCCACCUUUACAGCAAUUUUCCAGCUUUAUAUUAAAUAAAUAAAUAAAUAAAUAAAUAAAUAAAUAAAUAAAUAAAUG
rnacentral:lncRNA from 1 species